rnacentral:rRNA from 1 species
UACGUAGGGGGCAAGCGUUGUCCGGAAUUAUUGGGCGUAAAGAGCGUGUAGGCGGUCCGGUAAGUCGGCUGUGAAAGUCAAGGGCUCAACCCUUGAAUGCCGGUUGAUACUGUCGGGCUAGAGUCCGGAAGAGGCAAGUGGAAUUCCCGGUGUAGCGGUGAAAUGCGCAGAUAUCGGGAGGAACACCUAUGGCGAAGGCAGCUUGCUGGGACGGUACUGACGCUGAGACGCGAAAGCGUGGGGAGCAAACAGG